GAUGAACGCUGGCGGCGCGCCUAACACAUGCAAGUCGAACGAUUAAAGCACCUUCGGGUGUGUAUAAAGUGGCGAACGGCUGAGUAACACGUGGGCAACCUGCCCCUUUCAUUGGGAUAGCCACGGGAAACCGUGGAUAAUACCGAAUACUUCGAGACUUCCGCAUGGAAGACUCGAGAAAGCUCCGGCGGAGAGGGAUGGGCCCGCGGCCUGUUAGCUUGUUGGUGGGGUAACGGCCUACCAAGGCAAUGAUGGGUAGCUGGGUUGAGAGACCGACCAGCCAGAUUGGGACUGAGACACGGCCCAGACUCCUACGGGAGGCAGCAGUGGGGAAUCUUGCACAAUGGGCGAAAGCCUGAUGCAGCGACGCCGCGUGCGGGAUGAAGGCCUUCGGGUUGUAUACCGCUUUCAGCAGGGACGAGGCGAAAGUGACGGUACCUGCAGAAGAAGCCCCGGCUAACUACGUG
rnacentral:rRNA from 1 species